AGCAGUAUAGUGUAUUGUGAGCACACGGGGAUUCUGUACAACCUAGAAUUUCUAGUCCGUACCCUGAGGUCCUUGUUCGAAUCAAGGUGCUGCCG